ensembl:processed_transcript Rian RNA imprinted and accumulated in nucleus
AAUUUUGAAUAGCUAUAUUUUUAAUAUUGAUAGGGCUUAUGGGUUAAUAGAUCCUACAGUGUCUUUUACAUGGUCUCAGAGAAGCCCUAGUUCAUUAAAAAGAAACCUAACUAGGCUCUCUUUGAAUUUCUAAAUCUUGCUAAGUGUAUUUUUCUUCCACAAAAUGCUCACAGACAGCUGACUUACUGAGUUUUACUAAGAAACAAAAUCACACACGGUAUAGCUCUACACAUAAGGAACAGAGAGGAUGUUGGGAGUGAGACACCAGGUUCGUGGUCUCCCUUGGGAUGCUUUGUUCAUGAACCUUUAGUGGUACUUCAAAAGGAUACAGCUUUCAAACAAUAAGUUAAGCUCUGUAAGAAUGGACCGGUGGUGAGGAUGUGCUAGGACCCAUUUUUUUUUUUUAAAGAUUCAUCUAAUUUGGUGUAGUGGCAAGGAUCUUUAAAAAAUGGCAAUAUCCUGUAAAGGAGAUUUUGCCCCUGGAACAUUGUGUUGUGUCCUAUGGACUAAUGAGUUGGCCCGACGAGGGGUGGAAGGGAGAUGUGGAGGAAGGAAGGUUUGUCUGGACCGGUGAUGAGUUCCACAGGGUAUCUGAACCAGGAUAUUGUGAGAACUGUUUACUGUUGUUUUUAAUUUCCUACCACAUUGAUUUGAAGAUUUGCCUAUCAGUGUGGCCCUGGCUGAUAAGGAGGGCGUCACAAGUGGUAGAAGAUGCUGGCGUCAUUAUCUUCCAUCAGAUUUCUUUAGACAAGGGCAGAUUCACUUAGUGCAAGGUCCAGCAGAGCAGCAGUCAAAGCAGACAGAGAUGAGCUCUGGGUGCUGGUGAAGGUCUCUCUUCCCCGAGCUCCUUGGUUAAGGAAGAUGGAUGCCUUCAGUAAAGGGAGAGUUUGGUCCCUGGAGUAUUGUGUUGUGUCCUAUGGAAUAAUGAUUUAACACGAGAGGAGAGAUGGAGGAAGGCUUUUCUGGAUCAGUGAGGAGAACUUGGGGGAUCUGAACUAAGAUAUUGUAACUAAACCCAUGUAUGUCUCUGAGGUCUUUUACAACUCUCCCUUCUUUAGGGAACACUUUGUGGGGCUGUGUCCUAGGCUGAUAGACAUGUGGAUACAUUGGUUUCUUUAUUUCUAUACUAGCAGUGAGGUGGGUGGUGGCAGAGCCCAACAAGCUACAGUCAUUCCCAGCUAGGGUUUUACUUUUCUAAUGAAAUUAGCCUGUGGAUCUUUAAAAAGUAUGAAUAAAAAAAGAGGACAAAAUGGUCAAUUAUUACAAAGGAGUAUAAUGAGACAAAGGUUGUUGUUAAAUCUACUCAACAGUUGGGGCUUAAGAACCAUUUUGUUUAGGGGUACAUGGUCAUUAAGUGUUUGUCCUAUGUUGGUAACUGGUCUCCCAUAGUUGUUCCUAGUUCACUUCAACCCCACGAUCCUAAGCACACCUGUACCUGCCCUGGAAUCCCUCAGCCAUGUUUGUCCCACAGAGCAUCACUAUCAAACAGUUCACUGUGGACUCCUCGUAGCAGAAGUACAGUAGGGGACAGCAAGUGUCAGCUCCAUCAGGUGUGUGCAAUCUUGUGUAGCCUACUUUGUAGCUUUCCAUCAGACUUAAGGGACAGACAGGCACCCAUCAUGAGACAGGGCUUGAUAAUCUCAGCCGGGCGUGGUGGCACAUGCCUUUAAUCCCAGCACUCAGGAGGCAGAGGCAGAGGCAGGCGGAUUUCUGAGUUCGAGGCCAGCCUGGUCUACAAAGUGAGUUCCAGGACAGCCAGGGCUAUACAGAGAAACCCUGUCUCGAAAAAACAAAAAACAAAAAAUAAAAAAAUAAAAAAAGAAGCCAGUCUCUAACCAGUGGCCCUCAGAUAUAAACAACGCAGGCCAUUGGUUCUACAAGAAAAGGGCUGCUGAUGAAGUAAUCAUGACUUAUAAAUCCAUGAGCAGCUUCACCAACUCCUAUUUUUGAGGAAUAGGCAGCCAUACCUGUUUGUCUGAUGCCUGUUGGUGGCCCUGUCUGAGUCAACACUUUUGGCAAUGCCUGGAUAAAGUCUGAGGUCAUUUGCUCAGUGAGAGACUGACACUACUUUUUUAUAGAAAUUAUCUUUGUGUAGAAGUCUGAAAAACUUAGCCAACUUGCCCCUGGGCUUUUUGGCUCAGUGGUAUGUAAUCUUUUAUUUCAAGAGUAUUAGUAUAUAAAUAGGAAAUAGGUACAUAAAAUAAUGAAGACACAUUGAUUUGUGCAAUAGGUAGUGCAAGAAGCCAAAGAUAACUCAUGCUAUUGCCUACUAAAAAGCAAGUGUGCUUGUUAAUUCCAAGUAACAUAGGAUAGAGUCUGCAACCCUCUUUCAUAUUGAGUAUAUUAGUAGCUGUACUUAAUAGAGUUGCUUGGGUGUUUGUUGGUCAUUAAGAAAAGCAAAGUGCACAAGCUAGCCAUGUGUUAACUAUCCACCUGCUUGACAGAUGGUUGUAAAUGCCGUAAGACUUACUCUUGGACAUUCACCACAUUGAAAAUCAGAACUUUGAUAUUAACUCUAAACUUUAUUAUUACAUAGUUCUGCUUGACCCACUAAAUUCUAAAUCUUCUCUUCCCUCUUGUGCUGAAUGUAGGACCCCUGAUUUAAUUAUUUACUGUGGAACCAUUGUCCUGAGUCAGGAGGAUAGAUGAGGAAAGGUAAGGCCCUUAGUUCAUGGCCUCUGUCUGGAGUCUUGUUUAUGGCUGCUAGCUGAUCAUUUUCAAAAUCAGUAAUGGUCACCUACCUAAAACAGUUAACUUACAAAAUCAUGUUUAAUCCAAGUUGCCCUAAUAGACAUGAUUUUAAAAGAAAAAAGCAGUUAUAUAACUUGUCCCCAGAACUUUAGUGUUACCUUUUGCAUUGUGGUUGAGCUCUGCUCCCCAACAGUAGUUCUUUGGGAAGGCCCCCAUAUAAAUGCUAGCUCACGAGUCUAUGAGGAUUUCUGAGGUGGAAGAUGGGAUGGGAGCUUCAUUAUGUUUGAUGGAGCCAAAUUUGACAUCUGGAUGAAUUAAACAAAAGUGAACCACACAAAAAUUAGAUGUGGAUUGGAUCCAAAACAGAGACACUAGUGUGCCUUGGAGCAUGUGCCCUAAUGGAAGCAAUGUGGUCUGGAUAUCCCGAGAAGAGAGCCCCAACCCAAAGAUCUUGUUUUAGGGACUGUGUAUUGUUAACUGUGAAUCAAUCAGUCAAUGAAUGACGCAAACACCCAGCAUAGGCCAAUGAUGAGGAGCAUGGGGUUUCUGACCGAGGACAGUGAUUAAACCCUUAUGAAAUCUGAGGACUAUUGCAAACUGGUGUCUGCAUCCUAUAGAGAGGAGUCCCCAAAGCCCGAUCUUUGUGGAUUCGUGGCGUAACCCACAUUCCUGUAAUAAAAUUAGUCAUAAAUAAAGAAUAUGUUAAUGAAUAAAAGAUAAAAAAGAUAAAAUUGGCAAAGCUGGUUAGUUAGCCUUGAAACAAACAUAAAACAAAGCAAC